UGCGUAGGUGGAUUGCCAAGUCCGUGGUGAAAUCUUCGAGCUUAACUCGGAAACUGCCGUGGAUACUGGUAAUCUUGAAUAUCGUGGAGGUUAGCGGAAUAUGUCAUGUAGCGGUGAAAUGCUUAGAUAUGACAUAGAACACCAAUUGCGAAGGCAGCUGGCUACGCGAAUAUUGACACUGAGGCACGAAAGCGUGGGGAUCAAACGA
rnacentral:rRNA from 1 species